CAGCAGCCGCGGUAAUACGAAGGGGGCUAGCGUUGCUCGGAAUUACUGGGCGUAAAGGGCGCGUAGGCGGACAGUUCAGUCGGGGGUGAAAGCCCGGGGCUCAACCUCGGAAUUGCCUUCGAUACUGGCUGUCUUGAGUAUGAGAGAGGUGUGUGGAACUCCGAGUGUAGAGGUGAAAUUCGUAGAUAUUCGGAAGAACACCAGUGGCGAAGGCGACACACUGGCUCAUUACUGACGCUGAGGAGCGAAAGCGUGGGGAGCGAACAGGAUUAGAUACCCCUGUAGUCCCUGUCUCUUAUAC
rnacentral:rRNA from 1 species